rnacentral:rRNA from 1 species
AGAGUUUGAUCCUGGCUCAGGAUGAACGCUGGCGGCGUGCCUAAUACAUGCAAGUCGAGCGAACGGACGAGAAGCUUGCUUCUCUGAUGUUAGCGGCGGACGGGUGAGUAACACGUGGAUAACCUACCUAUAAGACUGGGAUAACUUCGGGAAACCGGAGCUAAUACCGGAUAAUAUUUUGAACCGCAUGGUUCAAAAGUGAAAGACGGUCUUGCUGUCACUUAUAGAUGGAUCCGCGCUGCAUUAGCUAGUUGGUAAGGUAACGGCUUACCAAGGCAACGAUGCAUAGCCGACCUGAGAGGGUGAUCGGCCACACUGGAACUGAGACACGGUCCAGACUCCUACGGGAGGCAGCAGUAGGGAAUCUUCCGCAAUGGGCGAAAGCCUGACGGAGCAACGCCGCGUGAGUGAUGAAGGUCUUCGGAUCGUAAAACUCUGUUAUUAGGGAAGAACAUAUGUGUAAGUAACUGUGCACAUCUUGACGGUACCUAAUCAGAAAGCCACGGCUAACUACGUGCCAGCAGCCGCGGUAAUACGUAGGUGGCAAGCGUUAUCCGGAAUUAUUGGGCGUAAAGCGCGCGUAGGCGGUUUUUUAAGUCUGAUGUGAAAGCCCACGGCUCAACCGUGGAGGGUCAUUGGAAACUGGAAAACUUGAGUGCAGAAGAGGAAAGUGGAAUUCCAUGUGUAGCGGUGAAAUGCGCAGAGAUAUGGAGGAACACCAGUGGCGAAGGCGACUUUCUGGUCUGUAACUGACGCUGAUGUGCGAAAGCGUGGGGAUCAAACAGGAUUAGAUACCCUGGUAGUCCACGCCGUAAACGAUGAGUGCUAAGUGUUAGGGGGUUUCCGCCCCUUAGUGCUGCAGCUAACGCAUUAAGCACUCCGCCUGGGGAGUACGACCGCAAGGUUGAAACUCAAAGGAAUUGACGGGGACCCGCACAAGCGGUGGAGCAUGUGGUUUAAUUCGAAGCAACGCGAAGAACCUUACCAAAUCUUGACAUCCUUUGACAACUCUAGAGAUAGAGCUUUCCCCUUCGGGGGACAAAGUGACAGGUGGUGCAUGGUUGUCGUCAGCUCGUGUCGUGAGAUGUUGGGUUAAGUCCCGCAACGAGCGCAACCCUUAAGCUUAGUUGCCAUCAUUAAGUUGGGCACUCUAAGUUGACUGCCGGUGACAAACCGGAGGAAGGUGGGGGAUGACGUCAAAUCAUCAUGCCCCUUAUGAUUUGGGCUACACACGUGCUACAAUGGACAAUACAAAGGGCAGCGAAACCGUGAGGUCAAGCA